GUUUCAAUUCCCCAUAGGUAGGCUGAAAAC
rnacentral:other from 1 species